rnacentral:rRNA from 1 species
GAUGAACGCUGGCGGCGUGCCUAAUACAUGCAAGUCGAGCGAACGGACGAGAAGCUUGCUUCUCUGAUGUUAGCGGCGGACGGGUGAGUAACACGUGGAUAACCUACCUAUAAGACUGGGAUAACUUCGGGAAACCGGAGCUAAUACCGGAUAAUAUUUUGAACCGCAUGGUUCAAAAGUGAAAGACGGUCUUGCUGUCACUUAUAGAUGGAUCCGCGCUGCAUUAGCUAGUUGGUAAGGUAACGGCUUACCAAGGCAACGAUGCAUAGCCGACCUGAGAGGGUGAUCGGCCACACUGGAACUGAGACACGGUCCAGACUCCUACGGGAGGCAGCAGUAGGGAAUCUUCCGCAAUGGGCGAAAGCCUGACGGAGUAACGCCGCGUGAGUGAUGAAGGUCUUCGGAUCGUAAAACUCUGUUAUUAGGGAAGAACAUAUGUGUAAGUAACUGUGCACAUCUUAACGGUACCUAAUCAGAAAGCCACGGCUAACUACGUG